rnacentral:rRNA from 1 species
AGAAUCAACGCUGGCGGCGUGCCUAAUACAUGCAAGUCGAACGCGAAGUCCCCGCAAGGGGAUUGUAGCGUGGCAAACGGGUGAGUAACGCGUGGGCGACCUGCCUUCGAGUGGGGGAUAACCUUCCGAAAGGGAGGCUAAUACCGCAUGACAUGCCCCGUUUAGAUACGGGGACAUCAAAGCUGGGGAUCGCAAGACCUGGCGCUUGAAGAGGGGCCUACGUCCGAUUAGCUAGUUGGUGGGGUAAUGGCUCACCAAGGCGACGAUCGGUA